UUAACAAUUUUUUUUGGUUCAUUGUUCAGACAGAUGGAAUGGUAAAUCCAGAAAUUAAGUAUCCUCCCGCUGGGCAUGUGAAUCCAGAGCAGUCACUUGAGAGUUACCAACCCCACGCAGCAAUUGACUGUGUGAGGGGGACAACUCAUCUGAAAAUGCUCCAGGCCCAGCGGAAGCAACAGGAGAGGUACGCAGAGUGGGUUUGAACAGUUCACGCGGCAGCAUGACUGAGUGACAUGAUAAUGAUCCUUCCGCAGGUUCACCUACGGAAA
rnacentral:misc_RNA from 1 species